GCCGGGGUGGCGGAAUUGGGAGACGCAAGGGACUUAAAAUCCCUCGGACAUUAUUGUCCGUGCCGGUUCGAUCCCGGCCCUCGGCA
rnacentral:tRNA from 1 species